UUUCUCGCAUGUUCUCUUACAGGAUGUGUUGGACCCAAUGCUGCUGUGGGCAACACCACUGGCGUCACUGUCAGUGGAAAUAAUGCAGGAAGCAUUGGAUCAGGCAACACAAUUGAUAUAAGAGGAGGAGUGGGAGCUGGUCAACGGGUUGGCAACACCUCCAACGUUAACGCUGGUUCUAACUCCGGAUCCAUCGGUUCAGGGAAUCGCAUCAACAUGUAAUGAGGAACUCGGCCUCCAACUCUUCUAAAAACAAUGCACCAUUUGUUGAAUGUAGAAUUCAUGAUUUCAAAUCAACAGAAAGAGUCAGUGAUCUGAUGAAUGUAAAGGAAAUAUGAGUGCAAAUAAAGUAGAGUAGCUGCUCUAUGAGACUGUC